GAGCUCUUUUACGCGCAGGUGUUUCCGGUUUUGUGUGUAGUUGUACACGUGAUCACUCACUUAGAAAACAAAAGCGUAUAAUGUUGUAAAAACUAUAACUAUUAGGUAACUUUAAACUACUAACAAAGCACAGUGGCACCUUACACUAGUGCAGUGGUCGGCAGCCUGCAUCCCUUUGACCACAGAACACUAUUACUUCUAGCGAAGAAGAACAGCUUCAUAGUAAAAAAAUGCCUACACCAACGCUCCAGUUAAUGCCAUCGGUACUAACGUAUGGCGCGAGAAUUUAAAAUGGUAUGCAAGUAGAGAAUUUAAUUAAGGAAUAAUUUCAUGUAGAGAAAUAAAACAAGGAUUGUACAUGGGUAACAAUUUUAUUAAGCUACCAUAAUUAAAAACAAAAAGUCUUAAUGUAUAUUCUUAUUAACAAUUAAAGUAUUUAUAUUAUAUACAGCACUGCGCGUGGCGGCAGAAUAAUUUUAAAGGAUAUAAAGUUUACAUUUAGAUUAGAUUUUAGAUUUAAAAUUAGAAUUAAGUUUUUUACUGUAAUAAAUUAAUGAGAAAAUCUACGUUAUUUGUAAAAGGCUUACCACAGUGUAAUUGACUGUUUCAUAUAAAAGAUUUAGUGUGGUAAAAUUAUGGUGUCGUUAUUUAUUAACAAUAAAUAUAUAUAAAUUACAUACUU